rnacentral:rRNA from 1 species
UUGGAGGGCAAGUCUGGUGCCAGCAGCCGCGGUAAUUCCAGCUCCAAUAGCGUAUAUUGAAGUUGUUGCAGUUAAAAAGCUCGUAGUUGGAUUUCGGGGUUCUACCGUUGGUCGGGCUUUGUCUGUACUGGCGUGUAGAAUUUCUACCUUCUGGGGAACCAUCAUGUUAUUAAUUUAGCGUGGUGGGAAACCAGGACCUUUACCUUGAAAAAAUUAGAGUGUUUAAAGCAGGC